UACAGAGGUCUCAAGCGUUGUUCGGAUUCAUUGGGCGUAAAGAGCUCGUAGGCGGUUCGAUAAGUCGGGUGUGAAACCUCCAGGCUCAACCUGGAGGCGCCACCCGAUACUGUCGUGACUAGAGUCCAGUAGGGGAGCGUGGAAUUCCUGGUGUAGCGGUGAAAUGCGCAGAUAUCAGGAGGAACACCAGCGGCGAAGGCGGCGCUCUGGGCUGGAACUGACGCUGAGGAGCGAAAGCGUGGGGAGCGAACAGG
rnacentral:rRNA from 1 species